rnacentral:rRNA from 1 species
CGAGUCCGAGUCUCCACGGAGACGAAGUGGCGGUCAUCCGGCUUCCUAGAAAAGCUCUAACCACGUUAAUCUUUAGUUGCCUGUACCCGAAACCGACACAGGUAGGGGGGUAGAGAAUACCAAGGGGCGCGAGAUAACUCUCUCUAAGGAACUCGGCAAAGUGACCCCGUAACUUCGGGAGAAGGGGUACCACUGAGAAGUGGUCGCAGUGAAGAGGCCCAGGCGACUGUUUACCAAAAACACAGGUCUCCGCCAAGUCGCAAGACGAAGUAUGGGGGCUGACGCCUGCCCAGUGCCGGAAGGUUAAGGAAGUGGGUUAGGGAUUCGUCCCGAAGCUGACGACUGAAGCCCCGGUGAACGGCGGCCGUAACUAUAACGGUCCUAAGGUAGCGAAAUUCCUUGUCGGGUAAGUUCCGACCCGCACGAAAGGCGUAACGAUCUGGGCGCUGUCUCGGAGAGAGGCUCGGCGAAAUAGGAUUGUUUGUGAAGAUACGGACUACCUGCACCUAGACAGAAAGACCCUAUGAAGCUUUACUGUAGCUUGGAAUUGGGUUCGGGCUUGGUUUGCGCAGGAUAGGUGGGAGGCGAAGAAGAUUUGCUUGUGGGUGAAUCUGAGCCAACGGUGAGAUACCACUCUAACCAGGCUAGAAUUCUAACUUCAACCCGUCAACCGGGGGAAGGACAGUUUCAGGUGGGCAGUUUGACUGGGGCGGUCGCCUCCUAAAAGAUAACGGAGGCGCACAAAGGUUCCCUCAGGCUGGUUGGAAAUCAGCCAACGAGUGCAAAGGCAGAAGGGAGCUUGACUGCGAGACCUACAAGUCAAGCAGGGUGGAAACACGGUCUUAGUGAUCCGACGGCACCGAGUGGAAGGGCCGUCGCUCAACGGAUAAAAGUUACUCUAGGGUAACAGGCUGAUCUCCCCCAAGAGUUCACAUCGACGGGGAGGUUUGGCACCUCGAUGUCGGCUCAUCGCAACCUGGGGCGGAAGUACGUCCCAAGGGUUGGGCUGUUCGCCCAUUAAAGCGGUACGUGAGCUGGGUUCAGAACGUCGUGAGACAGUUCGGUCCAUAUCCGGUGUAGGCGCAAGAACAUUGAGAGGAGUCUUCCUUAGUACGAGAGGACCGGGAAGAACGCACCGCUGGUGUACCUGUUAUCGUGCCAACGGUAAACGCAGGGUAGCCAAGUGCGGAGUGGAUAACCGCUGAAAGCAUCUAAGUGGGAAGCCCACCUCAAGAUGAGUGUUCUCAUGGAGUAAUCCAGUAAGGUCACGGGAAGACGACCCGUUGAUAGGCGGUAGGUGGAAGUUCAGCAAUGGAUGAAGCCGAGCCGUACUAACAGACCGAGGGCUUGAC